rnacentral:rRNA from 1 species
UACGUAGGGUGCAAGCGUUGUCCGGAAUUAUUGGGCGUAAAGAGCUCGUAGGCGGUUUGUCGCGUCGGCUGUGAAAACUCGGGGCUCAACCCCGAGCCUGCAGUCGAUACGGGCAGACUAGAGUGCGGUAGGGGAGACUGGAAUUCCUGGUGUAGCGGUGAAAUGCGCAGAUAUUGGGAGGAACACCGGUGGCGAAGGCGGGUCUCUGGGCCGAUACUGACGCUGAGGAGCGAAAGCGUGGGGAGCGAACAGG